GUAGGGUGCGAGCGUUAAUCGGAAUUACUGGGCGUAAAGCGUGCGCAGGUGGUUUUGUAAGUCAGAUGUGAAAUCCCCGGGCUUAACCUGGGAACUGCGUUUGAAACUGCAAGGCUAGAGUGUGGCAGAGGGGGGUGGAAUUCCGCGUGUAGCAGUGAAAUGCGUAGAGAUGUGGGGGAACACCGAUGGCGAAGGCAGCCCCCUGGGUCAACACUGACGCUCAGGCACGAAAGCAUGGGGAGCAAACAGGAUUAGAUACCCUGGUAGUCCAUGCCCUAAACGAUGUCAACUAGUUGUCGGGUCUUAACGGGCUUGGUAACGUAGCUAACGCGUGAAGUUGACCGCCUGGGGAGUACGAUCGCAAGAUUA
rnacentral:rRNA from 1 species